GACGAACGCUGGCGGCGUGCCUAAUACAUGCCAGUCGAACGCUUCUUUCCUCCCGAUUGCUUGCACUCAAUUGGAAAGAGGAGUGGCGGACGGGUGAGUAACACGUGGGUAACCUACCCAUCAGAGGGGGAUAACACUUGGAAACAGGUGCUAAUACCGCAUAACAGUUUAUGCCGCAUGGCAUAAGAGUGAAAGGCGCUUUCGGGUGUCGUUGAUGGAUGGACCCGCGGUGCAUUAGCUAGUUGGUGAGGUAACGGCUCACCAAGGCCACGAUGCAUAGCCGACCUGAGAGGGCGAUCGGCCACACUGGGACUGAGACACGGCCCAGACUCCUACGGGAGGCAGCAGUAGGGAAUCUUCGGCAAUGGACGAAAGUCUGACCGAGCAACGCCGCGUGAGUGAAGAAGGUUUUCGGAUCGUAAAACUCUGUUGUUAGAGAAGAACAAGGACGUUAGUAACUGAACGUCCCCUGACGGUAUCUAACCAGAAAGCCACGGCUAACUACGUG
rnacentral:rRNA from 1 species